GAGAAUGUGGAAUAUAUAACUACUGAGAACAUAAAAGGAUGUCUGCACAGCAUAUUUUGGGAUAUAUUUCAAUCAUACAAUUUAUAGAAACACUUUAAUCUCCAGAAUACAUUGCACUAGAUAUUAAAUUUGGGCCUUCAAACUAUUUUGUUUCUACAUUUCUUUAUUACCAUUGGAAGCUAUGUUCUCAAGAAGGCUUCAAAGAACUGCCAAGCAGUAUGUGGAAAUAUUGUGCUACUGAUGAGAAAUCAACUAAUUAACCAGAACAGAGCUCUCAAAGGACCCAUCACUAUUGCUUUAUUGAUUUUACAUUAUAAUUGCAC